rnacentral:misc_RNA from 1 species
GAGCUAUCAUCAUAAUUGGUUUUUUAAUUUCUAUAUCAUAAUUGGUUUCAUAGAGCUGAAUUAUGUGCACCCGAUUGUUAUAUCUGUCCCAACUGGUUUGAUUAACGGUUUAUAGAGUUCUGAUGAACUGAACCAGUCGUAUUUCUAUUUGUAUUAUUCUGACCAUAUUACAAACAUAUUUUUUUAAUGGUGAAAAAUUUUGAAGCUAAGAUUAUUUAGCGUGUUCAUUGCCUAAGGUUCUGUAUGGGAAGCUAUUAUUGUGAAACUUGUUAUUUACUCUACAUGGCCUACUUCUUUUUACACAUGGAUUAAGAAAAUAUUUUUAAUAUAGUUAAAACAAUAAAUUUUGUUUAGUCUUUUC